GAGAGAGAGCGGUAGAGGGCGGUAGAAAGAGAAGUAAGAGAGCGGUAGAGAGAGAAGUAAGAGAGCGGUAGAGAGAAAAGUAGAGAGCGGUAGAGAGAAAAGUAGAGAGCGGUAGAGAGAAAAGUAGAGAGCGGUAGAGAGAAAAGUAGAGAGCGGUAGAGUGAAAAGUAGAGAGCGGUAGAGUGAAAAGUAGAGAGCGGUAGAGAGAAAAGUAGAGAGAGGUAGAGAGAGGUAGAGAGCUGUAGAGAGAGGUAGAGGGCGGUAGAGAGAGAAGUAGAGAGAGGUAGAGAGAAAAGUAGAGAGAGGUAGAGAGAGGUAGAGGGAGGUAGAGAGAGAAGUAGAGAGCGAAGUAGAGAGCAGUAGAGAGAGAAGUAGAGAGCGGUAGAGAGAAGUAGAGAGCGGUAGAGAGAGAAGUAGAGAGAGAAGUAGAGAGAGGUAGAGAGAGGUAGAGAGCUGUAGAGAGAGGUAGAGGGCGGUAGAGAGAGAAGUAGAGAGAGGUAGAGAGCUGUAGAGAGGGGUAGAGGGCGGUAGAGAGAGAAGUAGAGAGAGGUAGAGAGAAAAGUAGAGAGCGGUAGAGAGAAAAGUAGAGAGCGGUAGAGAGAAAAGUAGAGAGCGGUAGAGAGAAAAGUAGAGAGAGGUAGAGAGAAAAGUAGAGAGAGAAGUAGAGAGAAAAGUAGAGAGAGGUAGAGAGAGGUAGAGAAAAGUAGAGAGAGAAGUAGAGAGAGGUAGAGAGAAAAGUAGAGAGAGGUAGAGAGAAAAGUAGAGAGAGGUAGAGAGAGGUAGAGAGCAGUAAGAGAGCAGUAGAGAGAGGUAGAGAGAGAAAAGUAGAGAGAAAAGUAGAGAGCGGUAGAGAGAAAAGUAGAGAGUGGUAGAGAGAAAAGUAGAGAGAGAAGUAGAGAGAAGUAGAGAGGUAGAGAGAGGUAGAGAGAAAAGUAGAGAGAGGUAGAGAGAGGUAGAGAGAGGUAGAGAGAAAAGUAGAGAGAGAAGUAGAGAGCAGUAGAUAGAAAAGUAGAGAGAGGUAGAGAGAGGUAGAGAGAAAAGUAAAGUAGAGAGUGGUAGAGAGAGAAGUAGAGAGCGGUAGAGAGAAGUAGAGAGAGGUAGAGAGAAAAGUAGAGAGAGGUAGAGAGAAAAGUAGAGAGCGGUAGAGAGAGAAGUAGAGAGCGGUAGAGAGAAGUAGAGAGAGGUAGAGAGAAGUAGAGAGAGGUAGAGAGAGAAGUAGAGAGAGGUAGAGAGAAAAGUAGAGAGAAAAGUAGAGAGCGGUAGAGAGAAAAGUAGAGAGAGGUAGAGAGAAAAGUAGAGAGAGGUAGAGAGAAAAGUAGAGAGCGGUAGAGAGAAAAGUAGAGAGCGGUAGAGAGAAAAGUAGAGAGAGGUAGAGAGAAAAGUAGAGAGUGGUAGAGAGAGAAGUAGAGAGCGGUAGAGAGAAGUAGAGAGAGGUAGAGAGAAAAGUAGAGAGAGGUAGAGAGAAAAGUAGAGAGCGGUAGAGAGAAAAGUAGAGAGCGGUAGAGAGAAAAGUAGAGAGCGGUAGAGAGAAGAGAGAGUUAGAGAGAAGUAGAGAGAGGUAUAGAGAAGUAGAGAGAGGUAGAGAGAGAAGUAGAGAGCAGUAGAGAGAGAAGUAGAGAGCGGUAGAGAGAGGUAGAGAGAAAAGUAGAGAGAGGUAGAGAGAAAAGUAGAGAGAGGUAGAAAGAAAAGUAGAGAGCAGUAGAGAGAAAAGUAGAGAGAGGUAGAGAGAGGUAGAGAGAAAAGUAGAGAGCAGUAGAGAGAAAAGUAGAGAGAGGUAGAGAGCGGUAGAGAGAGGUAGAGAGAAAAGUAGAGAGAGAAAAGUAGAGAGCGGUAGAG